UUUACUGUCGUUUACUACAUAUCUAAAAUUGUUUCCAAUAUUCCAUCGAAAUGUUUUUUCAACUGUGCAAAUUGCUGUCUUGGGUCACGAUGGAGGACGUUAUGAUUCGCCAUUAAAAACAAUGAAAAUAAUUUUGGUGUAAUGGCUUUUAACCUAACAGCAUGGUUUUCCAGAAGAAUUUAAGGCAUUAAGUGAAAGGUAGGAGGGUAAUGAAAACUCCCCCUGCCAGCAUCCUCAGAGCUUCUCGUUAUUCUCCUCAAGGACAAACCACAUCACGUUCCUUGUGUCACCUCCACAGACAGGCCAUCCACAGACGGGAAAAUACACAUGGAACCUCUCCAUCCCUUCCUGACACAGGUGAUAGCCUGCUACUCACUCGUUCCUCCACCUGGACUCAUUGUCUUCAAAAAACAUCUCAGAAAUCAUUCCAUGCCAGUACAUAAAGAGCGAGCUGACUUUCUAAUAGCUCCAUAGUGUUCCAUUUUGUGGCUGUAUUGCAAUCUAUACAAUCGACAGACGCUGUUUCUACUCUUUUGCUAGUAAACUCCACCGCUUGCCUUUGGGUUAUUUCACAGGUGUGAGAAUAUGCAGGUAAAUAGGAGGAGGGGCUGAGUCCAAGGCUUUUCACCCAGCGAGUGUUGUGCUUCAAGGAGGCUGGACCAGUUCUCCAGUUCCAGCAACAACGAGGGUGGGUGGUCCCCCUCACCGCCAGGUGCUCUUCUGCCUCCUCCCCCAAUUACAAAGACCCUCAUGAUUACACUGGGCCCACCUGGACGAUGCAGGCUACAUAUGCUCGCUCUCUUAAGGUCAGCUGAUUUUUAGCAGCCUUCAUUCCAUUCCAUCUGUCACCUCACCUCCCCUCUGUGGUGUAACCUGACAUCUUCAUCUGCUCCGGGCAGUAGGUCAUGGACCUCUUUUGAGGGCCAUUAUUCUGCCAACUGCAGCCUCCCAGAGGAGGUGACACUUGGGCUGAGACCAGACGUGCCACGCACAGAGCCAGGGAAGGAGAGUUCUGACAUCAGGAGCAAUGAGUGGAUGGCUGAGGAGCCCAGCUAGAGAUGAAGGACAGACUACCUCUAGAUUCGUCUCUGAUGUGACGGUGGAGAACUAUGACUAUGAAGAUUCCAAUUGCAGAAAGGGACAAGUACAUAGGAAGGAAUGGCAAAGUGACAGAGGCUGUGCUGAGAUGAAGACACUACGGAAACAUUGUGUCUUGCCUUCUACUCUUCAUUUCCCGGCCCUACAUGCCUCCCGCACAUCAAGUGCCCAAUGAGUACAUGUUGAAUAAAUGUUCAAAAAUGGCGGAGACAAAUAUUAAACCUUACUGAGAUGUGAACUUUGUGUCUUGCAUGCAAACAAGGCCCUGAGUGUUUGUGAACGAACUUCAGUGAAGCCACCGUACUUCCUUUUUGACCUACAAAAUGCCUUUGACCUUCCCCACAAGUGAGAGCAAAUGAUGAACGUGAAAGAUGAUAUUUUAAAAACUCUGUAUUCAAUUAUUCACACCAAAGGAUAUCCAUUAAAAUUAUGAACAUCUCUAAAUAUAUUUCAUGUAUCAUACAUAUAUAUACUUUAUAUGUAUAAUUACAUAUCGACAAAAGAUUUCUGGCUGCUCUAAGCAUGUAAGUAAAACAAAGAUAGAUUUUGCAACGUAACACCCAUAUAUGCAUAUAUACCAGCUGUUUGAAUUAUGAAUUUAUUUACAACUUGCUUAGGUUAGAAUAAGUGAUUACUGUUCUAUUGUACAAACAUAACAGGUUAGGGUUUCUUUAAAUACAAAGACUGCAAAUGAAUACAUGAAAAAAUUACACACAUGUACAAUAUUUAUAAUUU
rnacentral:lncRNA from 1 species